rnacentral:tRNA from 1 species
GGCGCUAUAGUGUAGUGGUUAUCACUCAGGAUUCUGAUUCAAAUUUCCUGGAACCCAGGUUCGAGCCCUGGUAGCGCCU